rnacentral:rRNA from 1 species
CCUACGGGAGGCAGCAGUGGGGAAUAUUGGGCAAUGGGCGCAAGCCUGACCCAGCAACGCCGCGUGAAGGAAGAAGGCUUUCGGGUUGUACACUUCUUUUGACAGGGAAGAGUAGAAGACGGUACCUGUCGAAUAAGCAACGGCUAACUACGUGCCACCAGCCGCGGUAAUACGUAGGUGGCAAGCGUUGUCCGGAUUUACUGGGUGGAAAGGGCGUGUAGCCGGGUUGUCAAGUCAGUAGUGAAAUCCCGCGGCUUAACCGCAGAACUGCAUUUGAAACUGUUGAUCUUGAGUACUGGUGCGGCAGGCGGAAUUCCUAGUGUAGCGGUGAAAUGCGUAGAUAUUAGGCGGAACACCAGUGGCGAAGGCGGUCUGCUGGACAGCAACUGACGGUGAGGCGCGAAAGCGUGGGGAGCAAACAGGAUUAGAUACCCCUGUAGUC